rnacentral:lncRNA from 9 species
UCUUAGUAAUGGCAUUUAAACUCUCUGAGGUUUGGAUUUUCAUCUGUAACUUUCUUUGGUAUCCUUUCAGGGUGCUUGUGAGACUCCAAUGACAUAAUACCUAAAAAGUUUCUUCAGGAAUGCUAUGUGAUUGUAAAAAGAACGGCAAUUACUAAUGUGUGCUGAGUCCCUGCAUUUACAGAAAAACGUACUUGAGAAUGUGGAAGUAAAACUGUUUCCAAAAUGGAAAUCUGAUCACUUAUUUGGGGGGAAAAAAUGGAACACGGGCAUUUCUAAGAGGUGGUCAGCAAUUUUAUUAACAAUUGGCAAAGCUACUCCUACAAAGGCAACAUUACCAAAUUAUAAAGCAAGUCAUUGAAGAGGAAAAAUUAGGCACUGGGUAAACUUCUCAUGGGAUUUGCGAAAUCAUCAACCUUCGAACUGUUCUGAGCUGAACUGUAGAUUAUAAUUUUAAGAGGAGUGGGUGGGUGAUUUCUACUUUCUAAGAACAACUUCCAACUCCAGUUGGGGAGCUUAUGGACAUUGAGAAUACCCUUGAUUUUGUAAAGCAACUAUUGCCUUUGCUCAGGAUUACAAAAGAGUAAAGGAUGCAAUCAAAAUAGAGUGCCAAUUAUUAGCAAAGCGACC